rnacentral:rRNA from 1 species
GAUGAACGCUGGCGGCGUGCCUAAUACAUGCAAGUCGAGCGAACAGACGAGGAGCUUGCUCCUCUGACGUUAGCGGCGGACGGGUGAGUAACACGUGGAUAACCUACCUAUAAGACUGGGAUAACUUCGGGAAACCGGAGCUAAUACCGGAUAAUAUAUUGAACCGCAUGGUUCAAUAGUGAAAGACGGUUUUGCUGUCACUUAUAGAUGGUUCCGCGCCGCAUUAGCUAGUUGGUAAGUUAACGGCUUACCAAGGCGACGAUGGGUAUCCGACCUGAGAGGGGGGUCGGCCACCCUGGAACUGAGACACGGUCCAGGCUCCUACGGGAGGCAGCAGUAGGGAAUCUUCCGCAAUGGGCGAAAGCCUGACGGAGCAACGCCGCGUGAGUGAUGAAGGUCUUGGGAUCGUAAAACUCUGUUAUUAGGGAAGAACAAAUGUGUAAGUAACUAUGCACGUCUUGACGGUACCUAAUCAGAAAGCCACGGCUAACUACGUG